rnacentral:lncRNA from 1 species
UUCGAUUUGUCUCUUCCCCGCUGUGAUUUCGUUCUUCGUUUCCGAUCAAGGUACGUUCGUCUUCAUUUUUUGUAUUUUUUCCAAUCAAGCGCACACACACAUACGCGACGCUGCUGUCGCUGCUUCUCUCGAUCCAGAGCCGCCCCGCCACGUCGCUCCGACAGCGGUCGCCCGAUGUCACCGCCGCUGAAGCAGCCGCCUGCUGCCGCCGCCUGGAGCCGUUGUUGCUGCCACAAGUCGCCGUCUGACCUGCAGCUACCGCCUCGCUCGGAUGUUGGAUACCCCUUGAUGACACUACGCCUCGCUUGGAGUAUCUCCGGCGAGUUCAUUUCCAGAAAUUAAAAUAUGGACAAUAGUUGAUCGAUUUGGGAACUGGGGUAUAUAUUCAGUUAUAUUCUCGUGUUGUUUGUAAAUAUUUAUGUGUAAUUGAAUUGUUUUUUUCUUCUCUUGUUUUGAAGGGCCCCUAAGUAUAUAUAACCCAUUUUAUUUGUUGGUUCUUUUGCUCCUAUUCUUUCUUUUCUUGCUUUUGUUUGCACGACCUCAUCCCUGAAUUGAAGAAUUUUAUUGGAUGAUGCUGCUAAAUUGGGUGGAUCUUUUUUGUUUGCUUGAGAAAUUGCUAUAAAUUGGGGGAUAGGCUUGUAAUUUGCUGGUGUUAGUUAAACUAGUUCUUGAUUUGAGAAAUAAUGAGUAUGAAUAAAAUUAAUUAUUUGCAUUUGC